UAAAUUUAGAAUACAGUUAUAUUAAAAUUAUAUUUAUAUAUAUAAAAACAAUGAAUAAUAAUAAAAAUUACUAUCGAUUUUAAGCAACAGAGGGACCGGAUCAAAAUGAAUUCAAGAACAAUAAAAAACAGCCGGACCGUGCAGAUCACUAUAUAGAGUCUUCGAUCGAAAAUCCGAAUGAAUCUGCGUACACACGAAUGAAAAAUUCGUAUUCACGUAUACAUAAUACUCUAUACUUUGACACUCUAUACGGGAAAAGGUGAAAGCGAUUACUCGCGAAACAGUGGUUUUUACCGUGAACACUGUCCGGUGGUCGUUUUUCGUAGCCGGACUGCUCGUUCCGCAAUAGACGUGGAUAUCCGCGAUAAAUGACCAACAAUAUUUCGACUGUUAUCCGUGAUACGACUGCCUUCACAAAAGUGUUGAUAUCGUACAAUUAUACUGACUCAUAGAUAACGACGGAGAGAUUGCGGCGGCGGUGGUGCGAGAGUUUAGGACUAUUGCUGUACCACUCCGACGAGACCGCGAAACAAGCAAGUUUGUUGGUCGGUUGUUUAACAUCGAACACGACACUGCCACCACCGUAGCUGCUAUUGUAUCGUCGGGUCGAAACUUUGGCGUCGUGAGUUAAUAAUUUGUUCGGAAGGCGCAGAUGCUCGUUGGCGGAAAAUCCUAUUCCGGAGAUAAUCACUUUUGCGCGCGUAGGUAGCGGUAGCC